rnacentral:rRNA from 1 species
GACGAACGCUGGCGGCGUGCUUAACACAUGCAAGUCGAACGGAAAGGCCCUGCUUUUGUGGGGUGCUCGAGUGGCGAACGGGUGAGUAACACGUGAGUAACCUUCCCUUUACUUUGGGAUAACUUCAGGAAACUGGGGCUAAUACCGGAUAGGAGCUCCUGCUGCGUGGUGGGGGUUGGAAAGUUUCGGCGGUUGGGGAUGGACUCGCGGCUUAUCAGCUUGUUGGUGGGGUAGUGGCUUACCAAGGCUUUGACGGGUAGCCGGCCUGAGAGGGUGACCGGCCACAUUGGGACUGAGAUACGGCCCAGACUCCUACGGGAGGCAGCAGUGGGGAAUAUUGCACAAUGGGCGGAAGCCUGAUGCAGCAACGCCGCGUGCGGGAUGACGGCCUUCGGGUUGUAAACCGCUUUCGCCUGUGACGAAGCGUGAGUGACGGUAAUGGGUAAAGAAGCACCGGCUAACUACGUG